ACCUUGGAUUGGCCGAUUUGAUCCAAGAGAUUGUUCUUGAGUGUUCCUUGUGUGUUUGGGCGUGUGAUCAAGAGGAUGGAUUUGAGGCAGAAAGACAAGGAGAAGGCAAAGGAGAAAGAGAAGGAAGUCGCCCCUGGAGACUGAACUCCUAAGGUGAGAGGUGUGGCCAAGAGUAACCGGACAAGGCCGCGGAAGAUGGCCGUGUGAGUCUG
rnacentral:lncRNA from 1 species